GAUGAACGCUGGCGGCGUGCCUAACACAUGCAAGUCGAACGGAGAUUUAACGCUGAUGAAGCUUCGGCAGAAUCUUGUUAAAUCUUAGUGGCGGACGGGUGAGUAACGCGUGGGCAACCUGCCUCGUACUGGGGGAUAACAGUUGGAAACGACUGUUAAUACCGCAUAAGCGCACGGUAUCGCAUGAUACAGUGUGAAAAACUCCGGUGGUACGAGAUGGGCCCGCGUCAGAUUAGCCAGUUGGCGGGGUAACGGCCCACCAAAGCAACGAUCUGUAGCCGGACUGAGAGGUCGGACGGCCACAUUGGGACUGAGACACGGCCCAAACUCCUACGGGAGGCAGCAGUGGGGGAUAUUGCACAAUGGGCGAAAGCCUGAUGCAGCGACGCCGCGUGAGUGAAGAAGUAUUUCGGUAUGUAAAGCUCUAUCAGCAGGGAAGAAAGGCUCGUAAGAGAGAUGACGGU
rnacentral:rRNA from 1 species